AUUGAACGCUGGUGGCAUGCUUUACACAUGCAAGUCGAACGGCAGCACGGGUGCUUGCACCUGGUGGCGAGUGGCGAACGGGUGAGUAAUGCAUCGGAACGUGCCCAUGAGUGGGGGAUAGCCCGGCGAAAGCCGGAUUAAUACCGCAUACGCCCUUAGGGGGAAAGCGGGGGAUCUUCGGACCUCGCGCUAUUGGAGCGGCCGAUGUCGGAUUAGCUAGUAGGUGAGGUAAAGGCUCACCUAGGCGACGAUCCGUAGCUGGUCUGAGAGGAUGAUCAGCCACACUGGGACUGAGACACGGCCCAGACUCCUACGGGAGGCAGCAGUGGGGAAUUUUGGACAAUGGGCGCAAGCCUGAUCCAGCCAUGCCGCGUGAGUGAAGAAGGCCUCGGUUGUAAGAC
rnacentral:rRNA from 1 species